rnacentral:rRNA from 1 species
AUUGAACGCUGGCGGCAGGCCUAACACAUGCAAGUCGAACGAGUGGCGGACGGGUUAGUAAUGUCUGUGAAACUGCCUGAUGGAGGGGGAUAACUACUGGAAACGGUCGCUAAUACCGCCUUCCAGCAGUUGCGCCCAGAUGGGAUUAGCUUGUUGGUGGGGUAACGGCUCACCAAGGCGACGACCCCUAGCUGGUCUGAGCGGAUGAAAAGCCACACUGGAACUGAGGCACGGUCCAGACUCCUACGGGAGGCAGCAGUGGGGAAUAUUGGACAAUGGGCGCAAGCCUGAUGCAGCAAUGCCGCGUGGAUGAAGAAGGCCUUCGGGUUGUAAAGUACUUUCAGCGGGGAGGCGUUACCCAAAGAAGAAGCACCGGCUAACUCCGUGCCAGCAGCCGCGGUAAUUC